UGCCAAAUCUUAACCUAUUAAAACUGCAUAUACUAGUGCAUAUUCCACAAACAAUCAAAACAUGACCACUGAACCUCUUGAUCCCUCUCAAUGAUGUUGAUUUUUCAUAUUUUGCAAGGUCUCUAACCCUUUCUAACCUUCAUCUUAACCUCUAACCUAAUCUCCAAACUUAAUCUCCUAAUCUAACCCCAGAAUGUAUCGGCGUGGCGCUAACACUCCACCAUGGCAUGUCUGUCAAUUCUUUUAAAAAAUUCAUAUUAUUGAAUUAUGUUUAUAAUACUACGCAUCUAUAUAUAUAGCGACCUGAGAUUGAUAAAAAUUACAUGUGUAUAAUUAUUUUAGUUGAUUCUAAUUAAAAAGACUUAAAAAAUCACAAUCUGUUGGUGAUUAACCUAGUUAUUGUUGUUGUUAUUGGCUACUUUGGGCAUUCUGGUAGCGAGAACAUAAUAAGGAAAGGAAAGAAUAAACAGGUGAGAAAUGCGAGUGUUGAAACACACCAAGAUAGAGUUAUCCACGGGUCGCGUUAUCGAUGUCCCCCUUCAACCUCUGAUGUUUCUCUGCACAUGUGAUUUCGGCAGUUAUCCAGCUCUGUUUAAUGUAGUUUAUGAUGAAAGAUUUAAGAAAUUAUUAUAUAUUAUUAAGUGCGAGG
rnacentral:sRNA from 2 species